rnacentral:rRNA from 1 species
GGGUGAGUAACGCGUGAGUAACCUGCCUUACACAAGGGGAUAGCCUCUGGAAACGGAGAAUAAUACCCUAUGAAACUAUCUUAUCGCAUGAAAAGAUAGUCAAAGUGUUUUAGCGGUGUAAGAUGGACUUGCGUCUGAUUAGUUAGUUGGUGAGAUAACAGCCCACCAAGGCAACGAUCAGUAGCCGGCUUGAGAGAGUGUACGGCCACAUUGGGACUGAGACACGGCCCAG